rnacentral:rRNA from 1 species
CUGGGCAAGACCGGUGCCAGCCGCCGCGGUAAUACCGGCAGCACAAGUGAUGACCGCUAUUAUUGGGCUAAAGCGUCCGUAGCUGGCCUCACAAGUCCAUCGGGAAAUCCGCGCGCUCAACGCGCGGGCGUCCGGUGGAAACUGUGUGGCUUGGGACCGGAAGAUCCAGAGGGUACGUCCGGGGUAGGAGUGAAAUCCCGUAAUCCUGGACGGACCACCGGUGGCGAAAGCGCUCUGGAAAGACGGAUCCGACGGUGAGGGACGAAAGCUUGGGUCACGAACCGGAUUAGAUACCCGGGUAGUCCAAGCUGUAAACGAUGUCUGCUAGGUGUGACACAGGCUACGAGCCUGUGUUGUGCCGUAGGGAAGCCGUGAAGCAGACCGCCUGGGAAGUACGUCCGCAAGGAUGAAACUUAAAGGAAUUGGCGGGGGAGCACUACAACCGGAGGAGCCUGCGGUUUAAUUGGACUCAACGCCGGACAUCUCACCAGCAUCGACAAUGUGCAGUGAAGGUCAGUGUGAUGAGCUUACCGGAGCCAUUGAGAGGAGGUGCAUGGCCGCCGUCAGCUCGUACCGUGAG